UACGAGGGGAGCAAGCGUUGUUCGGAAUUACUGGGCGUAAAGGGCUCGUAGGCGGCCAACUAAGUCAUACGUGAAAUCCCUCGGCUUAACCGGGGAACUGCGUCUGAUACUGGAUGGCUUGAGUUCGGGAGAGGGUAGUGGAAUUCCCGGUGUAGUGGUGAAAUGCGUAGAUAUCGGGAGGAACACCAGUGGCGAAGGCGACUACCUGGCCUGUUCUUGACGCUGAGGCGCGAAAGCUAGGAGAGCAAACGGG
rnacentral:rRNA from 1 species